UAAGUCCCAGCUCUUUCUCCCAUCUGGCUACGUGACCUGGGGUGGGUGGCUUCCCGCUGUGUGCCUCAAUUUCCACUUCCAGAGCCUGCCCGCGAGAACACGUACCUAAGAGCGUUGAUGGACAGCGGGCACAACCCUCGACAUGAUGCCCUCACUUAUGAGAAUGAGGGCUUCAGCAUUUCACGGAACUGGUCCUGGAGCAGCGCUGUGGCACCUGGAGAGGUCACUCAGCACGUUCACGUGGCUUGUCUCCUUGGACGUUCAGGAACAUUCUUCAAGUGGAGGUGUUCCCAUCACUAACCUUGCUGACCUCAGUUUUCUCAUCUGGGAAGUGAGGAGAAGUGCUUUGUGCAAGGCUAUAGGAGAUGAGAAGCGCCCAGGUCUCCUGGCUCCCAGCUUCCAUUGGUGGAUGAGUGGAGGUGAAACUUGGGAGGCUGAGUGUCUUCUCCCGGAGGGCAUAGUAGGUACUCAGUAAGUGCAAAUUGCUUCUUGAUGCCCGGCUGGCCUGUCUUUUCGCAUCUUUCACAAUUAAAGUUUGAUUUAAGAUGA